rnacentral:rRNA from 1 species
CGGCGGACGGGUGAGUAACACGUGGAUAACCUACCUAUAAGACUGGGAUAACUUCGGGAAACCGGAGCUAAUACCGGAUAAUAUUUUGAACCGCAUGGUUCAAAAGUGAAAGACGGUCUUGCUGUCACUUAUAGAUGGAUCCGCGCUGCAUUAGCUAGUUGGUAAGGUAACGGCUUACCAAGGCAACGAUGCGUAGCCGACCUGAGAGGGUGAUCGGCCACACUGGAACUGAGACACGGUCCAG